rnacentral:rRNA from 1 species
AGAACGAACGCUGGCGGCAGGCUUAACACAUGCAAGUCGAACGCCCCGCAAGGGGAGUGGCAGACGGGUGAGUAACGCGUGGGAAUCUACCCAGUUCUACGGAAUAACACAGGGAAACUUGUGCUAAUACCGUAUACGCCCUACGGGGGAAAGAUUUAUCGGGAUUGGAUGAGCCCGCGUUGGAUUAGCUAGUUGGUGGGGUAAUGGCCUACCAAGGCGACGAUCCAUAGCUGGUCUGAGAGGAUGAUCAGCCACACUGGGACUGAGACACGGCCCAGACUCCUACGGGAGGCAGCAGUGGGGAAUAUUGGACAAUGGGCGAAAGCCUGAUCCAGCCAUGCCGCGUGAGUGAUGAAGGCCUUAGGGUUGUAAAGCUCUUUCAGUGGGAAGAUAAUGACGGUACCACAGAAGAAGCCCGGCUAACUUCGCGCCAGCAGCCGC